AUACGUAGGUGACAAGCGUUAUCCGGAUUUACUGGGCGUAAAGGGCGUGUAGGCGGUCUUGCAAGUCAGAAGUGAAAUUCCUGAGCUCAACUCGGGCGCUGCUUCUGAAGCUGCAGGACUUGAGUGCUGGAGGGGAUAGCGGAAUUCCUAGUGGAGCGGUAAAAUGCGCAGAUAUUAGGAAGAACACCGGUGGCGAAGGCGGCUAUCUGGACAGUAACUGACGCUGAGGCGCGAAAGCGUGGGGAGCAAACAGGAUUAGAUCCCCUGGUAGUCCACGCCGUAAACGAUGAAUACUAGGUGUAGGGGGUAUCGACUCCCUCUGUGCCGCAGUUAACACAAUAAGUAUUCCGCCUGGGGAGUACGGCCGCAAGGUUGAAACUCAAAUGAAUUGACGGGG
rnacentral:rRNA from 1 species